CCCUUAGAUGUUCUGGGCUGCACGCGCGCUACACUGAUGCGAUCAACAAGUUUUUCCUAUGUCGAUAGACACGGGUAAUCUUUUGAACUCGCAUCGUGAUGGGGAUAGAUUAUUGUAAUUAUUAAUCUUCAACGAGGAAUUCCUAGUAGGUGCAAAUCAUCAGUUUGCAUCGAUUACGUCCCUGCCCUUUGUACACACCGCCCGGCGCUGCUACCGAUUGGUUGAUCUGGUGAAUUAUUCGGACUGCCGGCUGAAGGGGUUUCCUCAUCUGCCAGCGGAAAGUCUUGUUAACCCUAUCAACUAGAGGAAGCAGAAGUCGUAACA
rnacentral:rRNA from 1 species